GGGCCCGCACAAGCGGUGGAGCAUGUGGUUUAAUUCGAUGAUACGCGAGGAACCUUACCAGGGCUUAAAUGUAGUGGGACAGGUCUAGAGAUAGACCCUUCUUCGGACUCAUUACAAGGUGCUGCAUGGUUGUCGUCAGCUCGUGCCGUGAGGUGUCAGGUUAAGUCCUAUAACGAGCGCAACCCCUAUCGUUAGUUGCCAGCGAGUAAUGUCGGGAACUCUAACGAAACUGCCAGUGCAAACUGUGAGGAAGGUGGGGAUGACGUCAAAUCAUCACGGCCCUUACGUCCUGGCUACACACGUGCUACAUUGGGCGAGACAAUGAGAUGCAAAUGCUGUGAAGACUAGCU
rnacentral:rRNA from 1 species